rnacentral:rRNA from 1 species
GACGAACGCUGGCGGCGUGCUUAACACAUGCAAGUCGAACGAUGAAAGAGGAGCUUGCUCCUCUGGAUUAGUGGCGAACGGGUGAGUAACACGUGAGCAAUCUGCCCUUGACUCUGGGAUAAGCGCUGGAAACGGCGUCUAAUACUGGAUACGAGCUUCGGUGGCAUCACCAGAAGCUGGAAAGAAUUUCGGUCAAGGAUGAGCUCGCGGCCUAUCAGUUAGUUGGUGAGGUAACGGCUCACCAAGACGACGACGGGUAGCCGGCCUGAGAGGGUGACCGGCCACACUGGGACUGAGACACGGCCCAGACUCCUACGGGAGGCAGCAGUGGGGAAUAUUGCACAAUGGGCGCAAGCCUGAUGCAGCAACGCCGCGUGAAGGAUGAAGGCCUUCGGGUUGUAAACUUCUUUUAGCAGGGAAGAAGCGAAAGUGACGGUACCUGCAGAAAAAGCACCGGCUAACUACGUGCCAGCCGCCGCCGUAACAC